rnacentral:rRNA from 1 species
UACGGAGGGUGCAAGCGUUAUCCGGAUUCACUGGGUUUAAAGGGUGCGUAGGCGGGCAGGUAAGUCAGUGGUGAAAUCCCCGAGCUUAACUUGGGAACUGCCGUUGAUACUAUCUGUCUUGAAUACUAUGGAGGUAAGCGGAAUAUGUCAUGUAGCGGUGAAAUGCUUAGAUAUGACAUAGAACACCAAUUGCGAAGGCAGCUUGCUACACAGUUAUUGACGCUGAGGCACGAAAGCGUGGGGAGCAAGACGG